GACAGAGGUGCCGAGCGUUAGGCGGAAUCACUGGGCUUAAAGCGUGUGUAGGCGGAUCGUUAAGUGUCUUGUGAAAUCCCCCGGCUCAACCGGGGAACUGCUGGGCAUACUGGCGAUCUUGAGCGGCCUAGGGGCAGAUGGAACAAGUGGUGGAGCGGUGAAAUACGUAGAUAUCAGGUGGAAUACCGGUGGCGAAGGCGGCCAAUUGGCCCAACACUGACGCUGAGAUACGAAAGCGUGGGGAUCAAACAGG
rnacentral:rRNA from 1 species